ncrna:[Collinsella] massiliensis DTF3800-XI RNA
UGGGCUGGCCGAGAGGCCCUGGCCCACCCAAAGGCGGGGAUAUUCCCC